rnacentral:lncRNA from 1 species
ACAAGUCACUAAUGAAUUUCAGUCUUGGUUACUGGUCGAAUUCUGAAUUCUCAAUGGUAGUUCACCAAUUUUUUGUUCGUCAGAGAUGGUUGCUUAAAUGGAUUACCUAAAAUAGAGGUAAAAUUUUGAGAAAGGGGGAAAGAGAACGGAUCAGUGGUUGGUAAAAAUGGAGUUUGCCAGAGCAGCGUGCUUGAGAGCCC